GGGAAUGUAGCUUAGUCCGGUAAAGCGGUCGCUUGUCGAGCGAAAGAUCGUGGGUUCAAAUCCCAUCAUUCCCG
rnacentral:tRNA from 1 species